CCGGAGUGCUUGCACUUUGGCAGACUGAGUGGCGGACGGGUGAGUAACGCGUGGGUAACCUGCCUUAUACAGGGGGAUAACAGUUAGAAAUGACUGCUAAUACCGCAUAAGACCACAGCACCGCAUGGUGCAGGGGUAAAAACUCCGGUGGUAUGAGAUGGACCCGCGUUGGAUUAGCUAGUUGGUGAGGUAACGGCCCACCAAGGCGACGAUCCAUAGCCGACCUGAGAGGGUGACCGGCCACAUUGGGACUGAGACACGGUCCAGACUCC
rnacentral:rRNA from 1 species